UACGAAGGGGGCUAGCGAUGCUCGGAGUGUCUGGGCGUAACAGGCGCGUAGGCGGACUGCACAGUCAGGCGUGAAAUUCCUGGGCUUAACCUGGGGACUGCGGCUGAGACGUGUGAUCUAGGGUGAGGAAGAGGGUCGUGGAAUUUCCAGUGUAGAGGUGAAGUUCGUAGAUAUUGGAAAGAACACCGGUGGCGAAGGCGGCUAACUGGUCCUUGACUGACGCUGAGGCGCGAAAGCGUGGGGAGCAAACAGG
rnacentral:rRNA from 1 species